rnacentral:rRNA from 1 species
CCUGGCUCAGGACGAACGCUGGCUGCGUGCUUAACACAUGCAAGUCGAACGCUGAAGCCUGGUGCUUGCACCGGGUGGAUGAGUGGCGAACGGGUGAGUAACACGUGAGUAACCUGCCCCUGACUUCGGGAUAAGCCCGGGAAACUGGGUCUAAUACCGGAUACGACUGCCGGACGCAUGUCUGGUGGUGGAAAGUUUUUUCGGUUGGGGAUGGGCUCGCGGCCUAUCAGUUUGUUGGUGAGGUAAUGGCUCACCAAGACGACGACGGGUAGCCGGCCUGAGAGGGCGACCGGCCACACUGGGACUGAGACACGGCCCAGACUCCUACGGGAGGCAGCAGUGGGGAAUAUUGCACAAUGGGGGAAACCCUGAUGCAGCGACGCAGCGUGCGGGAUGACGGCCUUCGGGUUGUAAACCGCUUUCAGCAGGGAAGAAGCGCAAGUGACGGUACCUGCAGAAGAAGUACCGGCUAACUACGUGCCAGCAGCCGCGGUAAUACGUAGGGUACGAGCGUUGUCCGGAAUUAUUGGGCGUAAAGAGCUCGUAGGUGGUUGGUCACGUCUGCUGUGGAAACGCAACGCUUAACGUUGCGCGUGCAGUGGGUACGGGCUGACUAGAGUGCAGUAGGGGAGUCUGGAAUUCCUGGUGUAGCGGUGAAAUGCGCAGAUAUCAGGAGGAACACCGGUGGCGAAGGCGGGACUCUGGGCUGUAACUGACACUGAGGAGCGAAAGCAUGGGGAGCGAACAGGAUUAGAUACCCUGGUAGUCCAUGCCGUAAACGUUGGGCACUAGGUGUGGGGGGCAUUCCACGUUCUCCGCGCCGUAGCUAACGCAUUAAGUGCCCCGCCUGGGGAGUACGGUCGCAAGGCUAAAACUCAAAGGAAUUGACGGGGGCCCGCACAAGCGGCGGAGCAUGCGGAUUAAUUCGAUGCAACGCGAAGAACCUUACCAAGGCUUGACAUACACCGGACCGUCCUGGAAACAGGUCUUCUUCUUUGAAGCUGGUGUACAGGUGGUGCAUGGUUGUCGUCAGCUCGUGUCGUGAGAUGUUGGGUUAAGUCCCGCAACGAGCGCAACCCUCGUUCUAUGUUGCCAGCACGUGAUGGUGGGAACUCAUAGGAGACUGCCGGGGUCAACUCGGAGGAAGGUGGGGAUGACGUCAAAUCAUCAUGCCCUUUAUGUCUUGGGCUUCACGCAUGCUACAAUGGCUGGUACAGAGAGAGGCGAACCCGUGAGGGCAAGCGAAUCCCUUAAAGCCAGUCUCAGUUCGGAUCGUAGUCUGCAAUUCGACUACGUG